rnacentral:rRNA from 1 species
AUGAAUUAUGCUUAUGGAGAUGAACUUGCUAUAGUUUCUUAUGUUAAACAUGAAAUUGUUGCUAUUGCACCCACGCAUGAUAGUCCUAUUAUCCUUUUGAAUUCUCCCAACUACACUAUAUCGGAGAAGUUUACCCUUAUUAAGGAUUAUAUUGAUGGGUUGCGUUUUACUAUUACACAUGAUGAUUUUGAUAGAUAUAAUAUGCAUGUGCUUGCUGCCCCUACUUGCAAUUAUUAUGAGCGAGGAACUAUAUCUCCACCUCUCUAUGUUUCCAACAUGGUAAAAUUGCAAGAAACUAUUUACACUAUGCAUUGGCCUUUACUAUGUGUGCAUGAAUUGUUCUUUUAUGACAUGCCGAUGCAUAGGAAGAGAGUUAGACUUCGUCAUUACAUGAUAUACGUUGCUUUGUGCUCACUACUAAAUUACAAAUCAUUGUUAAUUAAAAUUGGCUUUGAUAUACCUUGGGAUCCGGGUGGAUUCAUUACUUGA